GUGGGGAAUAUUGGGCAAUGGGCGCAAGCCUGACCCAGCAACGCCGCGUGAGGGAAGAAGGCUUUCGGGUUGUAAACCUCUGUCCUUGGUGACGAAACAAAUGACGGUAGCCAAGGAGGAAGCCCCGGCUAACUACGUGCCAGCAGCCGCGGUAAUACGUAGGGGGCGAGCGUUGUCCGGAAUUACUGGGCGUAAAGGGUGCGUAGGCGGCCUUUUAAGUUGGAUGUGAAAUACCCGGGCUUAACUUGGGGGGUGCAUCUAAUACUGGAGGGCUAGAGUGCAGGAGAGGGAAGCGGAAUUCCUAGUGUAGCGGUGAAAUGCGUAGAUAUUAGGAGGAACACCAGUGGCGAAGGCGGCUUUCUGGACUGUAACUGACGCUGAGGCACGAAAGCGUGGGGAGCAAACAGGAUUAGAUACCCGGGUAGUCC
rnacentral:rRNA from 1 species